GUUAUGCCUCCGAUACAUGGGAGAGUCUUUAAUGGCUAUUACAAGCUUUUGUGGUGGUAUUACGAAACCGAAGCUGAAUGUGAAGUAGACGGUUCUGGACUUGUAAAAACAUAGUUCGGAAACAUGUUAGCAACGGUAGUAAAAACCCUUAACCCAUAUUCUUAGAAUCAAAAGAAGCGUACCAGAAUCAAGGAAUUCUACAGUUUACUCUAACGCUGCUGUAACCAAUGCUUUUCGCACCAAAUAACUUUUUUAAACCCUGUACCCAAAUGCUCAAAAGGUAUGCUAGAAAUUCCAAUUAAACGCAGGUGUUUCAUA